GCCUGGGCGACGCCGGAGAUGCAGUUGGAGGCUGCGGGAACGCAGAGUGACACUAACUGCCAGGUAACUGUCUCUCAGGACAUUUGUGCUUUGAGUCUGUGCAACUCUGGACCAUCUCUGCAGGGUAAAAGAUGUGCCUGUUGCUAAGAGGAGGAGCCCUGCAGCAGGAAUCCAGUGCCAGCUGACCUGGGAGCAACCUGAUCUCCAGAAAGCAUACCUGUUAUACUCAAAUGGGCCUUCCAGAUGAGCCCU
rnacentral:antisense_RNA from 1 species